UGGGGAAUAUUGGACAAUGGGGGCAACCCUGAUCCAGCAAUGCCGCGUGAGUGAAGAAGGCCUUAGGGUUGUAAAGCUCUUUCGGCGGGGAAGAUGAUGACGGUACCCGCAGAAGAAGUCCCGGCUAACUCCGUGCCAGCAGCCGCGGUAAUACGGAGGGGGCUAGCGUUGUUCGGAAUUACUGGGCGUAAAGGGCGCGUAGGCGGUGCGGUAAGUUAGGCGUGAAAGGCCCGGGCUCAACCCGGGAACUGCGCUUAAGACUGCCGCGCUGUGAGUCCGGGAGAGGAUGGCGGAAUUCCCAGUGUAGAGGUGAAAUUCGUAGAUAUUGGGAAGAACACCAGUGGCGAAGGCGGCCAUCUGGCCCGGUACUGACGCUGAGGCGCGAAAGCGUGGGGAGCAA
rnacentral:rRNA from 1 species